GGCAAUGGCGGAGCUACCAUGCAGUCGUACGAGAAGGUUCCUUCGGGAACUGGAGAGUGGCGCACGGGUGAGUAACGCGUGGGGACCUACCUCUUAGUGGGGGAUAACGGUUGGAAACGACCGCUAAUACCGCAUACGCCCUUCGGGGGAAAGAUUUAUCGCUAAGAGAUGGACCCGCGUUGGAUUAGAUAGUUGGUGAGGUAACGGCUCACCAAGUCAGCGAUCCAUAGCUGGUUUGAGAGGAUGAUCAGCCACACUGGGACUGAGACACGGCCCAGACUCCUACGGGAGGCAGCAGUGGGGAAUAUUGGACAAUGGGCGCAAGCCUGAUCCAGCCAUGCCGCGUGAGUGAAGAAGGCCUUCGGGUUGUAAAGCUCUUUCAGAUGCGAAGAUGAUGACGGUAACAUCAGAAGAAGCCCCGGCUAAUUUCGUGCCAGCAGCCGCGGUAAUACGAAAGGGGCAAGCGUUGUUCGGAUUUACUGGGCGUAAAGGGCACGCAGGCGGUCCUGCCAGUCAGGGGUGAAAGCCCGGGGCUCAACCCCGGAACUGCCUCUGAUACUGCAGGACUAGAGACUAGGAGAGGGUGGUGGAAUUCCCAGUGUAGAGGUGAAAUUCGUAGAUAUUGGGAGGAACACCAGAGGCGAAGGCGGCCACCUGGACUAGAUCUGACGCUCAGGUGCGAAAGCGUGGGGAGCAAACAGGAUUAGAUACCUG
rnacentral:rRNA from 1 species